rnacentral:rRNA from 1 species
AUUGAACGCUGGCGGCAGGCCUAACACAUGCAAGUCGGACGGUAGCACAGAGAGCUUGCUCUCGGGUGACGAGUGGCGGACGGGUGAGUAAUGUCUGGGGAUCUGCCCGAUAGGGGGGGAUAACCACUGGAAACGGUGGCUAAUACCGCAUAACGUCGCAAGACCAAAGAGGGGGACCUUCGGGCCUCUCACUAUCGGAUGAACCCAGAUGGGAUUAGCUAGUAGGCGGGGUAAUGGCCCACCUAGGCGACGAUCCCUAGCUGGUCUGAGAGGAUGACCAGCAAGCCUGGAACUGGGACACGGUCCAGACUCCGACGGGAGGCAGCAGUGGGGAAUAUUGCACAAUGGGCGCAAGCCUAAUGCAGCCAUGCCGCGUGUAUGAAGAAGGCCUUCGGGUUGUAAAGUACUUUCAGCGGGGGGGAAGGCGGUGCGGUUAAUAACCGUACCGAUUGACGUUACCCGCAGAAGAAGCACCGGCUAACUCCGUGCCAGCAGCCGCGGUAA